GGGGAGGAUAAUGGAGGUAGAGCACUGUUUGGACUAGGGGCCCGUCAGGGGUUACUGAAUCCAGAUAAACUCCGAAUUCCAUAUAUCUAUACGCGGGAGUCAGACUGCGAGUGAUAAGAUCCGUAGUCGAAAGGGAAACAGCCCAGAUCACCAGUUAAGGUCCCCAAAUCUAUGCUAAGUGGAAAAGGAUGUGGAGUUGCGUAGACAACUAGGACGUUGGCUCAGAAGCAGCCAUCAUUCAAAGAGUGCGUAAUAGCUCACUAGUCGAGUGGCGCUGCGCCGAAAAUUUACCGGGGCUAAGCAUAGUACCGAAACUGUGGAUGUGCGAAAGCACGUGGUAGGAGAGCGUUCUAAGUGCGGUGAAGUCUAAUCGAGAGGAUAGAUGGAGCGCUUAGAAGUGAGAAUGCCGGUAUGAGUAGCGAAAGAUAGGUGAGAAU
rnacentral:rRNA from 1 species